rnacentral:tRNA from 1 species
AGGAAUGUAGCUGGGUGGUAAAGCACUUGCCUAGCAUGCAUGAAUCCCCAGGUUCAAUCCCUUAGUACUCCAG